AGGGCACCACCAGGAGUGGAGCCUGCGGCUUAAUUUGACUCAACACGGGAAAACUUACCCGGCCCGGACACUGGAAGGAUUGACAGAUUGAGAGCUCUUUCUUGAUUCAGUGGGUGGUGGUGCGUGGCCGUUCUUAGUUGGUGGAGCGAUUUGUCUGGUUAAUUCCGAUAACGAACGAGACUCUAGCCUACUAAAUAGACCAGAGGCUUCUUAAAACACGUCUCUGGCUGCUUCUUAGAGGGACAGGCGGCGAUUCAGCCGCACGAAACAGAGCAAUAACAGGUCUGUGAUGCCCUUAGAUGUCCGGGGCCGCACGCGCGCUACACUGAAGUGAUCAGCGUGCUUUUUGUACCCUGCUCUGCCAAGAGUGGGUAACCCAAUGAACCUUCUUCGUGAUUGGGAUAGGGGAUUGUAAUUAUUCCCCUUGAACGAGGAAUUCCCAGUAAGCGCGAGUCAUAAGCUCGCGUUGAUUACGUCCCUGCCCUUUGUACACACCGCCCGUCGCUACUGCCGAUUGAA
rnacentral:rRNA from 1 species